rnacentral:rRNA from 1 species
CGCGUGGGACGGUAACAGAGAAUAGCUUGCUAUUUUGCUGACGAGUGGCGGACGGGUGAGUAAUGCUUGGGAAUUUGCCAAAAGGUGGGGGACAACAGUUGGAAACGACUGCUAAUACCGCAUAAUGUCUACGGACCAAAGGUGGCCUCUAUUUAUAUGCUAUCGCCUUUCGAUGAGCCCAAGUGGGAUUAGCUAGUUGGUAAGGUAAUGGCUUACCAAGGCGACGAUCCCUAGCUGGUCUUAGAGGAUGACCAGCCACACUGGAACUGAGACACGGUCCAGACUCCUACGGGAGGCAGCAGUGGGGAAUAUUGCACAAUGGAGGAAACUCUGAUGCAGCCAUGCCGCGUGUGUGAAGAAGGCUUUCGGGUUGUAAAGCACUUUCAGCGAGGAGGAAAGGGUGUAUCUUAAUACGGUACAUCUGUGACGUUACUCGCAGAAGAAGCACCGGCUAACUCCGUGCCAGCAGCC